rnacentral:rRNA from 1 species
CCCUUAGAUGUUCUGGGCCGCACGCGCGCUACACUGAGCCCUUCAUCGAGUUUACAACCUUGGCCGGUAGGUCUGGGUAAUCUUCUCAAAGGGGCUCGUGCUGGGGAUAGAUUAUUGUAAUUUUUAAUCUUCAACGAGGAGUUCCUAGUAAACGCAAGUCAACAGCUUGCAUUGAUUACGUCCCUGCCCUUUGUACACACCGCCCGUCGCUACUACCGAUUGAAUGGCUUAGUGAGCCCGAGGGACUGUUGCACCUAGAGGGUUUUCUCUCCAGGAGCAGCCGGGAACUCGGUCAAACUUGAUCAUUUAGAGGAAGUAAAAGUCGUAACA